rnacentral:rRNA from 1 species
UACAGAGGUCUCAAGCGUUGUUCGGAUUCAUUGGGCGUAAAGGGUGCGUAGGUGGCGCCGUAAGUCAGGUGUGAAAUUUCGGAGCUUAACUCCGAAACUGCAUUUGAUACUGCGGUGCUUGAGGACUGGAGAGGAGACUGGAAUUUACGGUGUAGCAGUGAAAUGCGUAGAGAUCGUAAGGAAGACCAGUGGCGAAGGCAGCUCGCUGGGACGGUACUGACGCUGGAGGCGCGAAAGCGUGGGGAGCGAACAGG